AAAUGUUUAACAGUAAUAUUAAAAUGCUAUUUUUAUUCUUGACCGCUGGGAUUUUUAUUGUAGAUAAUGUGAAAAAAGUUCGUGACAUAAAAGUAAAAUUGAGGAAAAUUAUAGAUACAAAAUAUCAAAGACGACUUUUGCGAAGACAUGGAUAAUCACAAUAUACGCAAUGGCAGGCAUAACAAUAGCAGUGAUUUUAUUUAUUCUACUUUGCCUCUUUUAUUCGAUUACAAUUAUAAAAUAUAUAAGAAAUAUUACAAAUUAUUGCUAGAUAUACUCGUAACAUUUGGAGAAAUUUAUCCAUUUAAUUCGUCAGCAUCGAAACAGAUAUAGAAUACGUAGUGCACCGUUUCAAGAUUUGAUGAAGACAUGGGGACAUAUCAUUUAUCAAUUUACACUUACAGUAAGAAGAAAUACACAUUCAAUUACGAGUUUUAUAUAAAAGUUAUUAUUAUUAUAAACAGAAACUAUUAUUAAUCUGUAAUAUCACCAUGACAAUUUGCGAAAUGAAUUCUAAAUAUGGACAAUGCACUUUCUAUGUGUAUGCAUGAUAAUCAAAUAACACUAAUAUAGACAUAUAUAAAUUUUAGA